CCUACGGGUGGCAGCAGUGGGGAAUAUUGGACAAUGGGCGAAAGCCUGAUCCAGCCAUGCCGCGUGUGUGAAGAAGGCCUUCGGGUUGUAAAGCACUUUCAGUGGGGAAGAAAGCCUUGGGGCUAAUACCCUCGAGGAAGGACAUCACCCACAGAAGAAGCACCGGCUAACUCCGUGCCAGCAGCCGCGGUAAUACGGAGGGUGCGAGCGUUAAUCGGAAUUACUGGGCGUAAAGCGCGCGUAGGCGGUCUGAUAAGCCGGUUGUGAAAGCCCCGGGCUCAACCUGGGAACGGCAUCCGGAACUGUCAGGCUAGAGUGCAAGAGAGGAAGGUAGAAUUCCCGGUGUAGCGGUGAAAUGCGUAGAGAUCGGGAGGAAUACCAAUGGCGAAGGCGGCCUUCUGGACUGACACUGACGCUGAGGUGCGAAAGCGUGGGUAGCAAACAGGAUUAGAUACCCCUGUAGUC
rnacentral:rRNA from 1 species